GUUUUUAUACCAGAAGGCUCCCUUAUAGGACAGAGCGCAGUUGGUGACGGCAAUGUCGUUGUCAUGGUCGUAGGUGGAGAACGGACGGCCGUGGUGAGAGAGACAGCAUUUUCUACACUCACUACAGAUGAACACAGCCAGAAUUCUUUCCCCUACAGCGGCCACCAUAACUAGGAUUAUGCAUUUGAAUUAAGAGAGCACAGCGUUGGCCUCCUUCACUUGCACUGACACAUGUCGGUCCUUGAGCGCUCCAGUGAACAGUUACCAAACACAAGUUAAGCACUUGGAAUCAACUCCAGGUCUAUUAUCUGCUUAAUCUGUCAUGGAAUAUUUCCAGCCAUUUUCAAAGUACAAUUACUUUGAAAAUGGUUCUGUGCGAGGUUUCUUCCUGUUAAAACCAAGUUUUUCCUUCCCACUUUCGCCAAAUGCUUG